AUGAACGCUGGCGGCGUGCUUAACACAUGCAAGUCGAACGGAAAGGCCAGUGCUUGCACUGGUGCUCGAGUGGCGAACGGGUGAGUAACACGUGGGUGAUCUGCCCUGCACUUUGGGAUAAGCCUGGGAAACUGGGUCUAAUACCAGAUAGGACCAUGCUUUGGAUGGUGUGGUGGAAAGUUUUUUCGGUGUGGGAUGAGCUUGCGGCCUAUCAGCUUGUUGGGGGGGUAAUGGCCUACCAAGGCGUCGACGGGUAGCCGGCCUGGGAGGGUGUACGGCCACAUUGGGACUGAGAUACGGCCCAGACUCCUACGGGGGGCAGCAGUGGGGAAUAUUGCACAAUGGGCGCAAGCCUGAUGCAGCGACGCCGCGUGGGGGAUGACGGCCUUCGGGUUGUAAACUCCUUUCGCAACUGACGAAGCUUUUUGUGACGGUAGGUUGAGAAGAAGCACCGGCUAACUACGUG
rnacentral:rRNA from 1 species